rnacentral:tRNA from 1 species
GAGAUUUAUGUUAAACAAACACCUAUCCUUCAAAGCUAAAAACAAAAGUGCAAAUCUUUUAAUCUCUG